rnacentral:rRNA from 1 species
CAGCAGUGGGGAAUAUUGCACAAUGGGGGAAACCCUGAUGCAGCCAUGCCGCGUGUGUGAAGAAGGCCUUCGGGUUGUAAAGCACUUUCAGUAGGGAGGAAGGUAGUGUAGUUAACACCUGCACUAUUUGACGUUACCUACAGAAGAAGCACCGGCUAACUCCGUGCCAGCAGCCGCGGUAAUACGGAGGGUGCGAGCGUUAAUCGGAAUUACUGGGCGUAAAGCGCAUGCAGGCGGCCUGUUAAGUCAGAUGUGAAAGCCCCGGGGCUUAACCUCGGAAUUGCAUUUGAAACUGGCAGGCUAGAGUCUUGUAGAGGGGGUAGAAUUUCAGGUGUAGCGGUGAAAUGCGUAGAGAUCUGAAGGAAUACCAGUGGCGAAGGCGGCCCCCUGGACAAAGACUGACGCUCAGAUGCGAAAGCGUGGGGAGCAAACAGGAUUAGAUACCCUGGUAA